rnacentral:lncRNA from 1 species
GAAAGCCUUGGGGUUUUGUUUGGUCAAACAGUACUGCAGAGCCUAAAUUCUGUCUGUGCCAUGUGUCUUGUCCUCUCCAAACUCUGGAUGGUGGGAAAGUCAGUGCCAGAGCCCAGAAACAACCUGUUGCUCUAUUAUGCACUCUUUGCCAGUUCUUGCUAUAUUUCCUUUUUACACUUCUUUUCAUAUGCAGGCCAGCGAGACUGAAAUUUCCAAACUCAUUUUCAGAGGAGAUGAGAGUGACCAAUCUUCUUGUGCUCAGACAUGGAGAACCACAAGUUCCCUUUCUUCUUCACCUUCAUGAACUCAAAGCUGCUGUUACUUCUCCUUCCUCUAUCAAGCACUUUGCUUCCAAGGAGCUGUCUCCCUCAGAAACCUAUUAUCAAGGCUAUUUCAGAAAAGUUGCACUUCCUUGGUACAUCUGGUAG